rnacentral:rRNA from 1 species
AACGAACGCUGGCGGCAUGCCUAACACAUGCAAGUCGGACGCGUGGUUUCGGCCACGAGUGGCGGACGGGUGAGUAACGCGUGGGAACCUGCCCAUCGGUAAGGAACAACCGCGGGCAACUGCGGCUGAUACCGUAUAUAACCUGCGGGGGAAAGAUUUAUCGCAGAUGGGGGGGCCCGUGUCGGAUUAGGUAGGUGGUGGGGUAACGGCCGCCCAAGCCUGCGAUCCGUAGCUGGGCUGAGAGGUUGAUCAGCCACACUGGGACUGAGACACGGCCCAGACUCCACGGGAAGGCAGCAGUGGGUAAUAUUGUACAAUGGGGUCAACGCUGACCCAGCGAUGCCGCGUGAGUGGAGAAGGCCUUAGGGUAGAAAAACUCUUGCGGCGGUGACGAUGAUGACGGUACCCGCAGAAGAAGCCCCGGCUAACUCCAUGCCAGCAGCCGCCGUAA